GGCACCCCUUACCAGUGGCGUUCGGGUGAGUGAUGUAUCGGAACGUGCCCAGUCGUGGGGGAUAACGUAGUGAAAAUUACGCUAAUACCGGAUACGAUCUACGGAUGAAAGCGGGGGAUCGCAAGACCUCGCGCGAUUGGAGCGGCCGAUAUCAGAUUAGGUAGUUGGUGGGGUAAAGGCCUACCAAGCCAACGAUCUGUAGCUGGUCUGAGAGGACGACCAGCCACACUGGAACUGAGACACGGUCCAGACUCCUACGGGAGGCAGCAGUGGGGAAUUUUGGACAAUGGACGCAAGUCUGAUCCAGCCAUUCCGCGUGCAGGACGAAGGCCUUCGGGUUGUAAACUGCUUUUGUACGGAACGAAAAGCCUUGGUUAAUACCCAGGGUCCAUGACGGUACCGUAAGAAUAAGCACCGGCUAACUACGUGCCAGCAGCCGCGGUAAUACGUAGGGUGCAAGCGUUAAUCGGAAUUACUGGGCGUAAAGCGUGCGCAGGCGGUUAUAUAAGACAGAUGUGAAAUCCCCGAGCUUAACCUGGGAACUGCAUUUGUGACUGUAUAGCUAGAGUACGGCAGAGGGGGAUGGAAUUCCGCGUGUAGCAGUGAAAUGCGUAGAUAUGCGGAGGAACACCGAUGGCGAAGGCAAUCCCCUGGGCCUGUACUGACGCUCAUGCACGAAAGCGUGGGGACCAAACAGGAUUAGAUACCCUGGUAGUCCACGCCCUAAACGAUGUCAACUGGUUGUUGGGUUCUUCACUGGCUCAGUAACGAAGCUAACGCGUGAAGUUGACCGCCUGGGGAGUACGGCCGCAAGGUUGAAACUCAAAGGAAUUGACGGGGACCCGCACAACCGUGGAUGAUGUGGUUUAAUUCGAUGCAACGCGAAAAACCUUACCCACCUUUGACAAUGGUACGGAAUUUUGCCAGAGAUGGCUUUAGUGCUCGAAAGAGAACCGUAACCACCGUUGCUGCAUGGCUGUCGUCAGCUCGUCCUUGAAGAUUUUGGGUUAAGUCCCCUAACGAGCGCCACCUGGGUCAUUAGUUGCUACAUUUAAUUGGGCACUCUAAAGAGACCGCCCGUGACCACCCGAAGAAAGUGGGGAUGACCUCAAGUCCUCAUGCCCUAUAGUGGGCCUACACACGUCAUACAAUGGCUGUACAAAGGUUCCAACCCGCGAGGGGGAGCUUAUCCCACAAACAGACCUCUAUCGAUCCAGUCUCACUCGACUGCGUGAAGUCG
rnacentral:rRNA from 1 species